rnacentral:rRNA from 1 species
AACGAACGCUGGCGGCAUGCCUAACACAUGCAAGUCGAACGAGACCUUCGGGUCUAGUGGCGCACGGGUGCGUACCGCGUGGGAACCUGCCCUUAGGUUCGGAAUAACUCCCCGAAAGGGGUGCUAAUACCGGUUAAUGUCUUCGGACCAAAGAUUUAUCGCCUUUGGAUGGGCCCGCGUUGGAUUAGCUAGUUGGUAGGGUAAAAGCCUACCAAGGCGACGAUCCAUAGCUGGUCUGAGAGGAUGAUCAGCCACACUGGGACUGAGACACGGCCCAGACUCCUACGGGAGGCAGCAGUGGGGAAUAUUGGGCAAUGGGCGAAAGCCUGAUCCAGCAAUGCCGGGUGAGUGAUGAAGGGCUUAGGGUUGUAAAGCUCUUUUACCCGGGAUGAUAAUGACAGUACCGGGAGAAUAAGCUCCGGCUAACUCCGUG